AUUGAACGCUGGCGGCAUGCCUUACACAUGCAAGUCGAACGGUAACGCGGGGCAACCUGGCGACGAGUGGCGAACGGGUGAGUAAUGCAUCGGAACGUGCCUGGUAGUGGGGGAUAACUGCUCGAAAGAGCAGCUAAUACCGCAUACGACCUGAGGGUGAAAGGGGGGGAGCGCAAGACCUCUCGCUAUCAGAGCGGCCGAUGUCGGAUUAGCUAGUUGGUGGGGUAAAGGCCCACCAAGGCGACGAUCCGUAGCUGGUCUGAGAGGACGACCAGCCACACUGGGACUGAGACACGGCCCAGACUCCUACGGGAGGCAGCAGUGGGGAAUUUUGGACAAUGGACGCAAGUCUGAUCCAGCCACGCCGCGUGCGGGAAGAAGGCCUUCGGGUUGUAAACCGCUUUUGUCAGGGAUGAAAUCUUCUGGGUUAAUACCUCGGGAGGAUGACGGUACCUGAAGAAUAAGCACCGGCUAACUACGUGCCAGCAGCCGCCGUAACAC
rnacentral:rRNA from 1 species